rnacentral:snRNA from 1 species
CUAGCUUCUCAGCCUUUUGGCUAAGAUCAAGUGUAGUAUCUGUUCUUAUCAGUUUAAAAGCUAUCAUUACUUAAUACUAACUUGGAAUUCUGGUGGUAGCUGAUAUAUCUGUUCUUUCUAAUCUACAAAGUACUUUAU